rnacentral:rRNA from 1 species
CAAUAGCGUAUAUUAAAGUUGUUGCGGUUAAAAGCUCGUAGUUGGAUUUCUGUCGAGGACGGUCGGUCCACACUUUGUGUGAGUAUCUGAUUCGGCCUUGGCAUCCUCUGGGGGAACGUCUCUGCGCUUGAUUGCGUGGGGCGGUAUUCCAGACUUUUACUUUGAGGAAAUUAGAGUGUUCACGGCAGGCAAACGCCUUGAAUACAUUAGCAUGGAAUAAUAAUAUAGGAUCUCGGUUCUAUUUUGUUGGUUUCUAGAGCUGAGGUAAUGAUUAAUAGGGAUAAUUGGGGGCAUUCGUAUUAACACGUCAGAGGUGGAAUUCUUGGAUUGUGUUACGACGAACUACUGCGAAAGCAUUUGCCAAGGAUGUUUUCAUUGAUCAAGAACGAAAGUUAGGGGAUCGAAGACGAUUAGAUACCGU